GGAAAAACUCUGCAAAGGGAGAAAAGCAGGAUUUACAACUACCGGUUACUGGGCAUAAGACCGCAAAGAGAAGGAAACCUGUCAUCGGUUUGGAUAAACAUAUCAAGGAUUAACCCUCUAGGGAAUAGAAUAAGGAUUACAACUACCUUUUUACUGGAUAGAAUACCAAAGAUGAGAAUAUCCGUCAUCGGUUAGGAUGAACAUAUCAAGGAUAAACUCAAAGCAAGGGAAGAAAAUAUCCGUC
rnacentral:lncRNA from 1 species